rnacentral:rRNA from 1 species
AUACGUAGGGGGCGAGCGUUGUCCGGAAUUAUUGGGCGUAAAGGGUUCGUAGGCGGUCUUUUAAGUCAGAUGUGAAAGAUCACGGCUCAACCGUGGUAAGCAUUUGAAACUGAAAGACUUGAGUUAAGGAGAGGAAAGUGGAAUUCCUAGUGUAGCGGUGAAAUGCGUAGAUAUUAGGAGGAAUACCAGUGGCGAAGGCGACUUUCUGGACUUAUACUGACGCUGAGGAACGAAAGCGUGGGGAGCAAACAGGAUUAGAUACCCUGGUAGUCCACGCCGUAAACGAUGAGUGCUAGGUGUUGGGGGUCAAACCUCGGUGCCGCAGCUAACGCAUUAAGCACUCCGCCUGGGGAGUACGUACGCAAGUAUGAA